UUUUUCUUUCUUCCACUCAUCUGGCAUUCUCCGGAGACUUUUCUUUCCAGGAGAUUUUUUUUUUCACGGCUAGCUUAUCCUCUCAUCCGGCAUUCUCACGACACGUAGCUUUCUAGCCGCUCUUCCCAUCCAAAUCACUCCACGCAUGUCUUAGUGCGUGGUAAAAAUCUCACCGCUGUUGAUCCUCUCGCGAGCUCGGCUUCCAGCUGUGUCCGGUGUUGUCUUCAGCCGCCGCACCUGAAGCAACUCGCCUCUCUGUUCUUCCACGCAGCACCAGACGCACGACUCUCCUCUGUCUUCUCUGUGCCGCCUCCUCGCCGAGCUGCGCGCUGCCAACCGCGCUGGUGAACUCGCCCGGUCCGGCGCACUGCUCAUCUCGGCUCCUUUGGAAAUCCUUCGCGAACGUCUCGCCAAGUUGUCAGGCCCGUCUUCGAGUUUGGUGGAGUCCCAAGCUUGCGCGCCGUCGGCCUCUUCCUCCUGUGUCCUAACGUCGUCGUCCCUGCUCACUUCAUCCAACUGCUCCCUUCAUCUCGGCCGAACUCGACGUCCAGCAAGCCGCCUGCUCGUGUUCCAUCUCUUCAACCAUCAGCUUCCGUGGAACACACUGAUCACGUUGUCUGUUGAUCAAUCACUUGGUGGAGUAAUUUUCUAGAGACCGGUCAUCACCCUGAAGACUCGUGACAUUUUAUUUUCUUAGUCUUCGGCUCUUCUCUGCAACAAAGACAAGCCCCGGUGCAUCCACCACUUUCCUUGUUGUUUACAAAACUUUUAUCACUUGAUAUGAUGCAUUAGGUGAUAGGAAUUGCGUGAUCAAACAAUUGAUGCAUUACCAACCUUGAGAAUUUGAAUAAUCAUUCCUUGAUACCUGUUUUAUGAACAACUAGUGCUGCUUAGCCCUACUUAAAGUGAUAAGAUUUUUUUUGAAAUUUA